UCAAACGGCUGAACGGGCCCACGUGGCAGUCUGAUUAAAAAAACAAGAACAGAGAGUUAAACCGCAAAACGACAAACACACCAUGACGGGUCUCAGUGAAGUGUGUCACCUCUCAAUUCAGUGGAGCAGUUUAUUACUGACGGCGUAAUUUACUGGUGCAUCUGUCUCUGCAUCAAAUCACGGCGCUGCCCGCGGCGCAUGUGUGUAGUAGCGCUGCCCGCGGCUCCAAUGGUUGAGUCAACCAGGUAGCUCGAAGAUAUCCACGUCAACAAGAGAUAACAAUAAAAGUCGAUUUCCCCAACAGCUAGAACUCUUAGCACACAUGUCCAGAUGUGGGUCCCACCUGGGAAGUAAAUUGUUUUCCCCUCGGCUCUUCUUCUUCGUCCUCAGUCCUCACCGCCAUCCCCUUCUCGGCGUUCCAGCGAGACGUCCGUGGAGGCGCCGCGGCCGCCGGCGUGCCAACGUCCG
rnacentral:lncRNA from 1 species